rnacentral:lncRNA from 10 species
CUUAUAUAUGCUAUGAUAAUUAUCAUGUACACCUAAAUAGACUAAUAAUUUAAUAUGAAAACAGAUUCUUUUAUAUUGUUCAAAUGUAAUGGGUAAUAUCUAAUGAAAUACUUCUAUAAUUUACCUAUAGUUUGAUAAUAAAGAAGAAUUUUUAAAAUAUAUAAUAACUUGGUAAGCAAUAUUUCACAAUAUUUCAGAUUUCUUGAUCUUUGUUUCAGUUUCAGGGUACCUGCAGAAUACAGACAUUUUGAGUUAAGAAAACCACACGUCUAUCUUCAAAAUUGAGAUUACCCUCUAUAUUUCAUUUUUCAUAAUUGCACAGAAAUGACAUCACCCAAUUUUCCAAAUUAUAUGACUUGAAUUUCACACUGGAUGUUUCAAAAAUUUGUUGAUUAACUUAUUGGAUAGUGACUCACUCAUUCACGGGAGAUUUACUCUCUUCCCCUUUAACAAAAUGUUUUCUCACAGACUACAGCCUUGUAGCAGCAUGGACAAUAAGCUAUUCCUAAUACCAAUUUGCUGAUAAGGGAAAUGUUAUAUUAUUAUAUGUCUAAGAAUCUGCAGUCAUGAGCAAAAAGGAUAUCUUCUUGCAACUCUGUCUUAUACCUCUUUAGAGGUAUGUUUCAAUGCCCUCUCCUUUCCAUUGCAGAGUAGUGUGGUCUACUAGGCUGGGCCUCCACAAUCCACCCCUCACCCCUCUAAUCACCUCUCCUCCUCUUUGCCUCCUUGCACACUGCAUUCCUGCUAUUCCUUGAGCACCCCAGGCACAGUGGGUGCUGAAGAGUCCCCCACUUCAGCCUACCUUAGAGCCUCCAUACCAGCUGGUCUCUGUGCUGAAAAUACUGGCCCUGGUGGCUGGAUGCCUCACUCCAUAAAGGGUUUGUCCUCCCUACCCUGCUGUACCCACCCUAUUCCCAAUCCCCUUGAGCCUUCCCUACUUUUAUACUUUGCUUUUUUUCCAUAGCACUUAUUAUCUUAUAACAUGUCGUAUACCUUAUUUAUUAUGGUUAUUGCUUAUUUUCUGUUGAUUAGGUUGUAAGCCCUGUGAGAUCAGAGAUCUAUUUUGAUGCACACCAAGUACCUAGGACAGUGUUUGACAUGGGGGAGCCACUCAGUAAAUAUUUUUUGAAUGAAAAAUUAUGUGAUCAAAUUCAGGAGGAAGAGCUGCUGUUAUGGGACACGGAAGUACUUAUGUGGACUAGGUAGUUUAUGAGCCUGAAGUUGCGUGUUUGCCUUCAAGUAGACUCUAAGCUGGUAGAGAUAAGAUUCUAUACAUUUUUACCUGCAGAAUUGAUGGUGCCAGACUUAAGAUACUGGUCUUGUGUAUGCUCAGAAAGGCUUUGGCCAUAAAAUUCCAGACUUAAUUAUAAGCAAUGUAUAACUUUUAAAUCAUAUAAAUUCUUAGAUUGAAAAAUAACAUUGAAAGGUAGUGAUUCCUAAAAUAAGAAUACUUCAACAAAAUAUUUUCUUGGUUAUAUUGCAGCAAAGAAGACAGUGGAAUCCAAAGAAACAGUUAUGAUGGGGGACUCUAUGGUGAAAAUAAAUGGGAUUUAUUUAACAAAAUCAAAUGCUAUUUGCCACUUAAAGAGUCACCCACUUCAGCUGAGACUACUUCUCAUGGCCAAAUGGAGUUGAUUUUUGUAUCAUUCCUUAUAUAAUACUCAAGAACACUUUUAUUCAUGACUGUCAAAGUGCUGCUUCUGUAGGACUAUCAGAAUAAGAUUUAGUUGGACUAUUCCAGCCAUCCCUUG